CAAUUCCUAUGUCUUGAGAAUAAAAGUCUUACCCAAACACACACACAAAAGAGGAGGUAUACUAAAUUCACCCCAUAUAUACCUCAACCCAGACCCUUUGCCUGGUCUGAAUUGUGAAUUGGGGGACAAAA